GCUUAAGGCAUCUUUUUAUUUUUAAAAGACCUUUUUCGGAAGGUAUGCUUAAAGAGGGGCUUGCGUCACAUUAGUUAGUUGGCAGGGUAAAGGCCUACCAAGACUAUGAUGUGUAGCUGGACUGAGAGGUUGAACAGCCACAUUGGGACUGAGACACGGCCCAAACUCCUACGGGAGGCAGCAGUAGGGAAUUUUCGGCAAUGGAGGAAACUCUGACCGAGCAACGCCGCGUGAACGAUGAAGUAUUUCGGUAUGUAAAGUUCUUUUAUUGAAGAAGAAAAAAUAGUGGAAAAACUAUCUUGACGAUAUUCAAUGAAUAAGCCCCGGCAAACUAUGUGCCAGCAGCCGCGGUAAUACAUAGGGGGCGAGCGUUAUCCGGAAUUAUUGGGCGUAAAGGGUGCGUAGGCGGUUUAAUAAGUCUAUAGUUUAAUUUCAGUGCUUAACACUGUCCUGCUAUAGAAACUAUUAGACUAGAGUGAGAUAGAGGCAAGUGGAAUUCCAUGUGUAGCGGUAAAAUGCGUAAAUAUAUGGAGGAACACCAGAGGCGUAGGCGGCUUGCUGGGUCUUUACUGACGCUGAGGCACGAAAGCGUGGGGAGCAAACAGGAUUAGAUACCCUGGUAGUCCACGCCGUAAACGAUGAGUACUAAGUGUCGGGAUUACUCGGUACUGAAGUUAACACAUUAAGUACUCCGCCUGAGUAGUACGUACGCAAGUAUGAAACUUAAAGGAAUUGACGGGACUCCGCACAAGCGGUGGAUCAUGUUGUUUAAUUCGAAGAUACACGAAAAACCUUACCAGGUCUUGACAUACUCUGCAAAGCUAUAGCAAUAUAGUGGAGGUUAUCAGGGAUACAGGUGGUGCAUGGUUGUCGUCAGCUCGUGUCGUGAGAUGUUAGGUUAAGUCCUAAAACGAGCGCAACCCUUGUCAUUAGUUGCCAGCAUGUCAUGAUGGGCACUUUAAUGAGACUGCCAAUGAAAAAUUGGAGGAAGGUGAGGAUCACGUCAAAUCAUCAUGCCCCUUAUGAUCUGGGCUACAAACGUGAUACAAUGGCUGUUACAAAGAGUAGCUGAAACGCAAGUUUAUAGCCAAUCUCAUAAAAGCAGUCUCAGUUCGGAUUGAAGUCUGCAACUCGACUUCAUGAAGUUGGAAUCGCUAGUAAUCGCGAAUCAGCAUGUCGCGGUGAAAUUU
rnacentral:rRNA from 1 species